rnacentral:rRNA from 1 species
AUUGAACGCUGGCGGCAGGCUUAACACAUGCAAGUCGAGCGGAGAUGAGGUGCUUGCACCUUAUCUUAGCGGCGGACGGGUGAGUAAUGCUUAGGAAUCUGCCUAUUAGUGGGGGACAACAUUCCGAAAGGAAUGCUAAUACCGCAUACGUCCUACGGGAGAAAGCAGGGGAUCUUCGGACCUUGCGCUAAUAGAUGAGCCUAAGUCGGAUUAGCUAGUUGGUGGGGUAAAGGCCUACCAAGGCGCUGAUCUGUAGCGGGUCUGAGAGGAUGAGCCGCCACAGUGGGACUGAGCCACGGCCCAGACUCCUACGGGAGGCAGCAGUGGGGAAUAUUGGACAAUGUGGGGAACCCUGAUCCAGCCAUGCCGCGUGUGUGAAGAAGGCCUUAUGGUUGUAAAGCACUUUAAGCGAGGAGGAGGCUACUGAGACUAAUACUCUUGGAUAGUGGACGUUACUCGCAGAAUAAGCACCGGCUAACUCUGUGCCAGCAGCCGCGGUAAUAC